GUAAGGAAUAUUGGACAAUGGGCGCAAGCCUGAUCCAGCCAUGCCGCGUGAAGGAUGAAUGCCCUAUGGGUUGUAAACUUCUUUUAGCAGGGAAAAAACCCCUCGAUGCGUCGAGGGCUGAUGGUACCUGCGGAAUAAGGAUCGGCUAACUCCGUGCCAGCAGCCGCGGUAAUACGGAGGAUCCAAGCGUUAUCCGGAUUUAUUGGGUUUAAAGGGUGCGUAGGCGGAUAAAUAAGUCAGUGGUGAAAGCCUGCAGCUCAACUGCAGAACUGCCAUUGAUACUGUUUAUCUUGAAUAUGGUUGAGGUGGGCGGAAUAUGACAUGUAGUGGUGAAAUACUUAGAUAUGUCAUAGAACACCGAUUGCGAAGGCAGCUCACUAAGCCAUCAUUGACGCUGAGGCACGAAAGCGUGGGGAGCAAACAGGAUUAGAAACCCCUGUAGUCC
rnacentral:rRNA from 1 species